CCAUCAGGAGUCUUCUUCCCGUUCCUUUUUUUUUUUAUGGGCUUUGAGCUUCUCAGAUUUUGGGCCUGGUCCAAGGCACAAAAGGGCCGGGUGUCACAGUUGUAGUAUGAUCAAAAGUUUCAAUUGAUUUAUAGGGCCUCAACAAAAGAAUUCCCAUCAAUAGAAAAAUUAUUGUUAAUCUGCAUCAUACAAAAGAACAGCAAAUCAAAUAACAAAUAAAAAAAUAGGGAAGAGAUGUUAAAAGAAGCUCGUGAGAAUCAACAUAAA
rnacentral:lncRNA from 1 species